ACGGAAGGCAGCAGUGGGGAAUAUUGCACAAUGGGGGAAACCCUGAUGCAGCGACGCCGCGUGAAGGAAGAAGUAUCUCGGUAUGUAAACUUCUAUCAGCAGGGAAGAAAGUGACGGUACCUGACUAAGAAGCCCCGGCUAACUACGUGCCAGCAGCCGCGGUAAUACGUAGGGGGCAAGCGUUAUCCGGAUUUACUGGGUGUAAAGGGAGCGUAGACGGCAAGACAAGUCUGAAGUGAAAGGCAUGGGCUCAACCUGUGGACUGCUUUGGAAACUGCCUUGCUUGAGCGCCGGAGGGGUAAGCGGAAUUCCUAGUGUAGCGGUGAAAUGCGUAGAUAUUAGGAGGAACACCAGUGGCGAAGGCGGCUUACUGGACGGUAACUGACGUUGAGGCUCGAAAGCGUGGGGAGCAAACAGGAUUAGAUACCCUGGUA
rnacentral:rRNA from 1 species